GACGAAGGGGGCUAGCGUUGUUCGGAAUUACUGGGCGUAAAGCGAGUGUAGGUGGUUGUCCAAGUUGGAUGUGAAAGCCUUGAGCUCAACUCAAGAAAUGCAUUCAGGACUGGGCGACUAGAGGACCGGAGAGGAUAGUGGAAUUCCCAGUGUAGUGGUGAAAUACGUAGAUAUUGGGAAGAACACCAGUGGCGAAGGCGGCUAUCUGGACGGUUUCUGACGCUGAGGAGCGAAAGCCAGGGGAGCAAACGGG
rnacentral:rRNA from 1 species